rnacentral:lncRNA from 1 species
AUUUAUGAAGUAUUUUUGAACUUGGAUUGUUUAAAGUACGAAUCCUUAAUAUUUGUUCUUUUGUUUCACUGAAUUCGUUUUCUUUAAAAUAUUUUUCAUCAUCCUCGGUCCUAAAUGAUGAUAUAACUGAAUAUCUUUGGCCUGUAGUGCAAAGAUGAAUGAUUUUAUGAUGAAUAUCUUUGGCCCGUAGUGCAAAGAUGAACAG